AGUGUUUAUAAAUUAAUUCCACCUGGAAUGUCCUAUUAUAUUAUUUAAAAAUAAAAGCAUUUACAUGUUCUUUUUCCAUAUACUAGGACUAAUGUUCCUUCUUCCCUAGUGCCAUUAGAACAUGAAACAGGUUGCCUGAAUCAGCAUGGAAGACGUGACUUAGGAAGUCCCUAAUUAACUAAGUUAGCACGACUAGAUUAACACAUCAAUAGGCAGAGGACACAAUUUUUUUUUUUAAAGGAACAUCU